GGGGAGUGGCAUUAUCUAUAUAGAUAAAAAGCUAGCGACUGGAACGCCUUAACGACCAGAACGACCAGUCGCUAUGACGCCCACUGCAGCCAGCCUCCCGCAGCCCCU